ACCUACGGGGGGCAGCAGUGAGGAAUAUUGGUCAAUGGGCGGAAGCCUGAACCAGCCAAGUCGCGUGAGGGAAUAAGGCCCUACGGGUCGUAAACCUCUUUUGCCGGGGAGCAAGGGCCGGGACGCGUCCCGGCCCGGAGAGUACCCGGAGAAAAAGCAUCGGCUAACUCCGUGCCAGCAGCCGCGGUAAUACGGAGGAUGCGAGCGUUAUCCGGAUUUAUUGGGUUUAAAGGGUGCGUAGGCGGGCUUUUAAGUCAGCGGUCAAAUGUCGGGGCUCAACCCCGGCCUGCCGUUGAAACUGGCGG
rnacentral:rRNA from 1 species